rnacentral:lncRNA from 1 species
GCGGGGUUUUAACAGUAUUUUUUUUUUUACUUUUGUCAAUAGUUUGUGUGUAUUUCAAAAGCCCAUCAAAUUAUAAACUUGUUAUCCGGGUUUUUAAUAAAUUUUAGGUUUCCACCAUCACUAAAGACACACGAUAAGAAACAUAACGUCCAGUGCCAAAUAUUUCAUGCAUAAGUUUUAUAGAUUCUUUUUUUUUAUGAAUAUUACUGUUAUGUGAUCAACGCCGGUUUUAAAUGCAAAUUUAUUUUGUAGUGUAUAAAUAAACUUUAGAAUGUUGAUUACGUAUUGUCCAGUUGCAAGUACUUUAUGCAUAUUUAGAGCGCACAAUAGUUUUGCAAGUUUUAAUGUUUUUACAGUUGUACUGUACACAUUAACUUUAAACUAAACUUUAAACUGAUGAUCGCGUAUUGUCCAGUUGCAAGUAUGUCAUGCAUAUUUAGAGAGAACAUACAAGUUUUAAUGUUUUUGCAGUUCUAUUUAGAGAGAACAUAGGCUACCUGUUUUUUUUUUUUUUUUUUUUUUUACAUUUUAACAUACAUGUUUUAAUGUUUUUACUGUUCUUUUGUUAAGAUAAACUCUAGACUGCUGGUUGCAUAUUGUCCAGUUGCAAGUAUUUCAUGCAAAUUAGAGAAAACAUACAAGUUUUAAUGUUUUUUUCAGUUCUCCUGAAUAAAUUAACUUUAGGCUGUUGAUUGCGAAUUGUCCAGUUGUCAGUAUUUCAUGCAUAAUUAGAGAGAACAUUAAAGUUUUAACGCGCAGAGAAAGGGACACUUUGACCCGCUAACUGUACUGUUUAACUCAACAUGUUUGCUUAAACAAUUUACAAACGAAAUAGCCGAAAUGACGCCCCCACUUUAAGCCAGUUUAAUUCUUCCGUUUUGAAAAAGUACUAACGUGCUUAUGUAUAUUUUUUUAAUGAAAUGGUAAAAUUAGUAUACGUUAAUGAAAUAGCAAUAACCAAAUAACGCUUGAUAUGGACACGUUUUGGGGAUUGGACACGUUUGGGGGUUAGUUGAGAAAUGGACACGUUUGGGCGUUUAUACAAAUGACACGCUUUGGCGCAGUUUUCAACUAGACAUGUUUGGGGGAAUCGGACACGUUUGGGGGAAGGACACGUUUCUGAGUGUAACAUAUAUAU